GACGAACGCUCGCGGCGUGCUUAACACAUGCAAGUCGAACGGAAAGGCCCUGCUUUUGUGGGGUGCUCGAGUGGCGAACGGGUGAGUAACACGUGAGUAACCUGCCCUUGACUUUGGGAUAACUUCAGGAAACUGGGGCUAAUACCGGAUAGGAGCUCCUGCUGCAUGGUGGGGGUUGGAAAGUUUCGGCGGUUGGGGAUGGACUCGCGGCUUAUCAGCUUGUUGGUGGGGUAGUGGCUUACCAAGGCUUUGACGGGUAGCCGGCCUGAGAGGGUGACCGGCCACAUUGGGACUGAGAUACGGCCCAGACUCCUACGGGAGGCAGCAGUGGGGAAUAUUGCACAAGGGGCGGAAGCCGGAUGCAGCAACGCCGCGUGCGGGAGGACGGCCUUCGGGUUGUAAACCGCUUUCGCCUGUGACGAAGCGUGAGUGACGGGAAUGGGUAAAGAAACACCGGCUAACUACGU
rnacentral:rRNA from 1 species